CUUCAAUUAGGUUGGAAUCAAUUUCAAAUUCUCCCUCUCUUCAAUAUCAUAACUCACUUUCUUUCUCAUGGAUUUCAAUUCUUCUCUCAUCAGCUCUCUCAUCCUCUCUGAUAUCUUCACCACCACCAACACCUUCGCUGCCGUCAUUUUCUUUCUCAUUGAUUUCAUUAAGUUCUCUUCUCAUGAAGCAGAGAACACGACUGCAACGAAGGUAUGUAAAUACAUGGGGUUUCUGCAAUUUUCACGGCUGGAGAAGUAUCCAAAUGAAGCAGAUUUAUGAUUGAAUAAAAAUGGACCAAAGUGUUUCAGAAUUCAAUUACCAGAUAUUGUUGUUCAUGAAUUUGAGGAAAAAGGUAUGUUUUCUUCUUUGAAAUGCCUAUUUUUCUUCAAUACUGUUUCUUAUAUCCGAUUUUAUGAUCCUUUUUCUAUUUCUUUGAAAAUAUUGUUGCUUAGUUGUCAUAUUUAUUGGGAUUUGUUUCUAUCGUUUAGUUAAUAAUCCCUACUUUUUAGGAGUUAGUGGCGUUUAGAUGGUUUUUUUUCUCCGAUGAUUGAUUUGUUUUUGUUAAAUUUCAGAUUUUUUUUUAGAUUUGUAUCAAUUUUAAUUAGUUUUAUUUGUUAUUUGUAAACUUUAAUCGAGGAGAAAACCAAACUGAUAUAACCUAGUCCGUUUAUUGCAUUUGCUUGAGGCCAAACAAAAAAAUCUCCUUGCUUCAGAAGCAGCUUGACCCUUCCCUUUCAUUUGUCUCUCUCAAGCCAAAUAUUGCAGGACUGAUGCUGCUGCUAUUGUUUUUCUGCUUUGUUGGAAUCAAUUUCAAAAUUCAAUUUCUCCCACUCUUUUUCAAUAUCUAAACUCACUUUCUUACUCAUCUCUCUCUCCAUUUUUUGUUGAUUCUUCGAACUUCUUCUCUCUCCAUGAAUCAACCUUCUUGGAUGGCACAAGCCACAAUCUCCAAAGGUUUUCUUCUCCAUCGAAUCCUCCAACCUGUUUCAAGAUCCAUCCAGCAGGCCAAAAGAUUUGUAGACUAUUUGGCUACUUUGGUCCUCUAAAUGAAGUUUUCAUGCUUGUGAUUAUUAUAUUAGAUUUUGAAUUAACAUGAUUCCCAUGCGAUGCACUUCCAGCGGACAAAUUCAGUCAGUUACUGUGAGUAAUCUUCUCCACUUUAUUAAGCUUUUUAUUUUGAUCAUAAAAUUAUUGAAGAAUCAAGGACUUAGAGCUACAAUUCUCCUUGGAGAGGCAUAUGCAUCAUUUUCAAGUAUAUAGAGUUAGCACAUACAAAAAAUAUGUACGAAUGAAAGAUAUAUAAGCGUUCUCUUUCUCUCUUUAUGUUCACAUUGUGUCCUGUUUGUGCGUGAAAGUUGAUGUUGUCAAGCCUCUUUAUUGUUGGAAACAUUGAUCUUUUAGUCAUAAGGAGGGGUUAUUACUUAAAGGAUGCAUUUCCAUGUUAUACUAGCACUACCAGGUAAUUAUUUCAGUUACUUUUUACACACACUUUAAGUCUUUAAAACAUCAGUUUUGAAACAAAGUAGAAAAGUACACUUAUUUUUCUUCAAAGUUGAGACACCCUCUUCAUUGAGUUGUUUGUAAUUUUGAUGCUAUUGUGUUUUUAUAUUCACAUGUAAUUUUUUUUAUAUUCAUAGUUUUAAUAGGCAUCUAUUUUACUUCACUCAGGAGACACUCUCAUUGGUGGAAAUUUGCUCGAGGUCCGAUCCUAAUUUUGAGGGAUUGCAUGCAUCUCAAAGAAAGAUUAGUGAACACGGAUGCUGUGAUGGAGCUCCUGCCUUGGAAAGAUAGACUUAAGAGUCUAUGGACGGUUCACAUACUAAUCAAAGCUUUAGGAAACAUGUCCAGUUAAACAUAGAGAAUUCCAUGGAGAUCGAACCUUAAAUGAGAAACAAGUUGAGAUUCUUAAUGACAUCACUAUCAUUUUCAGAGUUUUUGACCAAAUAUUACAGAGCAUGUCAUACGGAAAAGAUUAGAAAGGAAGGAGCAAGAUGAUUAGCUAAAGCUUGAGUGCAACUAAGAUAGAUACAAUUUGUAAUAAAUAUAAUACCCUUAAAUGUUGAAUAGAAUCACUGUCUAACAUUGUUUUUCCAAUAUAAUUAUGCUUAUUCAAUAGCUUUAAA